GACGAACCGUGCGAACGUUAUUCGGAUUCAUUGGGCGUAAAGGGUGCGUAGGCGGCGCGGUAAGUCGGGUGUGAAAUCUCGGAGCUUAACUCCGAAACUGCAUUCGAUACUGCCGUGCUUGAGGACUGGAGAGGAGACUGGAAUUUACGGUGUAGCGGUGAAAUGCGUAGAUAUCGUAAGGAAGACCAGUGGCGAAGGCGGGUCUCUGGACAGUUCCUGACGCUGAGGCACGAAGGUCAGGGGAGCAAACGGG
rnacentral:rRNA from 1 species